CAGCCUGCCCUCCCGCAAAUUGUGG
rnacentral:piRNA from 1 species